GCUUUGAUCUAAAUCUCCCUAGAUACAGCAGGGUUUUGAUCUCCAUCCCUUGGUUUGAGAUCUCUCUCCUGAUUGGCCCUUCCUCCCUUCUCCAUUUGAAUGCACACACUCAGCAAAUCAAAUGCAGACAGAGCUAAUAAAAGUGAGGGAGCACAGGGCUUUCGCAAGUCAGGCUCCUGGCUGGAGUCCAGCUCUAAGCUGGAUCCAGGCUCUAGCCAGGGCUUGACUGCACUCUGCUCAAUAGAGAAGGGGAACUGUGAGACCUGUAGGAGAAUGAGCCAAUAGAAGUGUAGGGUCUGAAGAUUUAACCUUGUAAUCUUCACUCAGUAUGUAGUAUGUGUUCAUUAGCAUCUGUAUUCAUGAGCCAGUUCAGGGAGGUUCCUGAUGCAGGGUCUCUGCAUGCUCCUUAUGGUGAGCUCAGACUCAGGGAAUGAGGUGCUUUUUCUCCACUAAGUUCUGAGAAACUUUCAUUGAAGACACAGUCAAACACCUAGUCAUGGUAUAGUAAAUCGUGGGCCUCUUUUCUCUUCGCUUUUUAAUUUGUUGAGCAUUUUACAUUUGGUUUCCAAUUAUUAACAGUUUUCACAUAAAAUCCAUUAAAUCUGUUGUUUUCCUCCUAUACUAACAUGUUUCUUAGGCAUAUUUUAAAACCACAUUUUUGUGUAUGCCUUACUCAUUUUAUAGAAACAACACGAUGUUAUUUCCAACUAGAUAUAGUUUGUUCUCUCCUUAGAAAUACUCACUUUUCAUUUUCUACCCUAUUUGCUCUAAGGGUAUGCCUAAGAAAUGUUUGUGAAGUGGCAUCCACUGUAUAUUUUUCUUUUUAAUUUGUUGAACGUUAGUGAUCCUUUUCAGAUUGUAUUACUUCCUUCUAUGUAAUUAUGAAAUUUCAGUACAGUACAUGGCCUGAUUUUUUUUUAGUUCUUGGGUUUAACUUCCUUAAUAAAUAUGUUUUUAUACAUUUACAUAAUGAGUUUUGGUCAUAUUCAUCUCAAUCCUUCUGUUUCUUCCUACAUUCUCUUAUUCUGAAUCUCUGCCAAGUCCUCUGGCUGUAUCUUUUUAUAAUGAAUGUGAGAAUUUAAUGAAAGGCCAGUGUGUUUUCCACAUCUCUGUAGCUAAACCUCUUGCUGUUUACUCACAACUCUAGUUUUUAAUGAAUUAGCUCUUCAUUACUUGUUAUUGUUACAUAUAUACAUCUAUACAAAGCCAAAAUACAUAUUGUGUAUAAAUAAAACCCCUGAAUCAGUUUGACGUUCCCAGCUUCACAAAAUUAUGAAGCAAUGUAGUUAAUGUAUAUAACAUUUUAUUUAAAUGGCAGUAAGGUCCUCUAUAUUUCAUGGCCACACUAGUCAAGUGUUGUAUGCUGGUUUACAAUGUGAGGCAUAGUUUACUUCAUUUUAACCAGGAAAUGAGUCCAAUUACUUUGGUAAUAACUAUUGAUAUGAUGUCUAAGUCAGUAGACAUUUUUAUGUUAUUUUUCUUGGAUAUUUUAUGUAUUUACAUUUCAAAUUUUAUCCCCUUUCUCCCUCUCCCAUACUCCCUCUCUCUGCUUCUCUGAGGAUGUCCCCACUCCCACUCACCAACUCCAUCUCAGUGCCCUGGCAUUCCCCUAGAGUGGGGGAAAUGUGCCUUCGGAGGACCAAAGUCUUUUCCUCCUACUGAUGCUGGACAGUGCCAUCCUCUCAUACAUAUGUGACUAGAGUCAUGAGUACCUCCGUAGUACUCCAUUGUGUAAGUAUAUCACAUUUCCUGUAUCCAUUCCUGUGUUGUGGGACAUCUGGGCUCUUUUCAUCUUCUGGAUAUCAUAAAUAAGGCUACUAUGAACAUAGUGGAGCAUGUGUCCUUAUUAUAUGUUGGAGCAUCUUAUGGGUGUAUUCCCAACAGUGGCAUAGCUGGGUCCUCAGUUAUUACUAUGUCCAGUUUUCUGAGGAACCACCAGACUGAUUUCCAGAAUAGUUGUACCAGCUUGCAAUCCCACCAACAAUGGAGAAAUGUUCCUAUUCCUCCACAUCCUCACCAGAAUCUACUGUCAUGUGAUUUUUUUUAACUUAGCCAUUCUGACUGGUGUGAGGUGGAAUCUCAGGAUUGUUUUGAUUUGCAUUCCCCUUAUGACUAGGGAUGUUGAACAUUACUUUAUGUGCUUCUCAGCCAUUAGGUAUUCCUCAGUUGAGAAUUCUUUGUUUAGCUCUGUACCCCGUUUUAAUAGGGUUAUUUAAUUCUCUGGAGUCUAACAUCUUACACAUUUAAUGAUACAUUGCCAGGCUGGCCAUUGUCUUUCAAAUUCAUUAUAGCUAAAUUUUACAGUUGAGUACUUUUCUCUCUUAACAGCUUCAUUUAUAACACCUCUCUGCUCUUGGAAAGCACUAAGGGACCAGGCACUAACAGGGGUAGUUACUGUUCAAAUUUCUAUAAUUCCAUUUUUAAAAUCAGUAUUUCAGCAAUAGGAAUUUAACUGCAACAUAUUGAACGUAACCAAGAGUCUGCAAUAGACUAUGCACUUAAGGUAGUCUCCCGGACCCACAAAUUCAAAUGAAUUUCUCCUGAUUCCAGUGUGUUCCUUUCUUUUUCUUUUUCUUUUUCUUUUUCUUUUUCUUUUUCUUUUUCUUUUUUUUUUAGAUAGGCGUAGCUCCUUGUUUGAAUAUUGUUUUCUAAAGUAUUUGUAAUUUCAUGUAAAUACUCUAAAUUUAUUAGAUAGCUUGGAAUAAAUAUAAAUUAAUGAUUCCCUUUUAAUGUUGACCAUCCUUAGUGUAUUCACAUAAUCAUUUGUAUAUUUUCUUCUUUAAUACUCUUAGAAAUGCUUUGUAGAAAUGACUAUUGGGCAUUAAUUAUGAUGUUCUUAUAUUUAAUAUUUAAAUUUUUUUCUUUAAGAAUAUAAUACUUGCAGAAUAGUAGACUUUUCCAAUGUGAUAUGAAAUUAUAUGCUUAUAUUUAUCGAGUUAUACUUUUAUUAAUUCAUGUUAUAUGUAUUGUGAAUUUAAAUUUUACUUCAUUUUACUUGUCGAUUCUGCUGUGAUUGCUCUUUCAUAUCUCAUCAAUUUAUUGCAAUAUGAUCCAUGAGUGGGAUAAUACUGAGAAAUUGUGAAAACCAAGGGGAGCAUUUGAAUAAGGUAUUAAUGUGACCAAACAUAUUAGUUUUGUGUGUAUACUCCCCUUUGUUUUUUGGGGCAUCCUCUUCACUCAGUAGUUCAUUGACAACUAAAGUUCUAUAUUUGUGUCAUAAUAAUUGUUUGAAUAUAUACUUUAUUUUACAGAAUGUAUAUUUUGUGUUAAUUGCAACAUUUAAUUUUUCAGUAAUUUCUUACUCCAUAUUACUAAUUAUUUUUCACCAAUAUACCAAAAACUAAUUCAUAAUAUUUUGCUUUCUUUGCAGGGUUUUCAAGUUUUUUGGUAUGUAUUGUUACAUGGACAAUUUUAAUCUAUGUUUUGUGUUAUUGAGCCAAGAAUUACAUUUUCUUAUUUUCUUCACUGCUUCCAAUUUAAAAAUUUCUGUGACUACUGCAAAUCUCAAAACCUUUGUAGAAUCAUUGGUACACGCAUGCAAGUGUGCGAGAAUGUGUAUAUGUUUGCGUUUGUGUGUUUGUGUGUGUGUGUGUGUGUGUGUGUGUGUGUGUGUUUCUGACUCUCUUAUGUGUGAUUUACGGUAAGGAGAAUGCUCAUUCAUGAAAUGUUUGUCAUGGAAUAUGAGGAUAUAGAUUUUGACUUGUAGAAUUUCCAAAGCAAAAUAAUAUGAGGGAAUGAUAGAAGGCAUUUUAAUUCCAAAUUUGUUCUGCAAGUCCAAUGAGCUGCUAAGGUAUAAGAUCUAUGAAAAUCUCAAACUCAAUGGUAAUAAGCUAGAAUUCAAUUGAGCUAGAGACAUAACGGUGUCCUUGUAAUCAUACACCUCUGUAUAUAUAGCAGAACCCUCACUCACCCAUGGUCAUAUACACAAAUAUCUAUAUCUAUAUCUAUUAUCUAUAUCUAUAUCUAUUUACACCUAUCUAUAUCUAUCUAUCUAUCUAUCUAUCUAUCUAUCUAUCUAUCUAUCAUCUAUCUAUGAAUUAAUUUAAAGUACCCAAUUUUACUUAACUAACUUCUUUUUAGCCAUAUACCACAUAAUCUUGAAACUAAUUUGCCCUUAGUUUUGAAAGAUGAUUGAAAAUUCAAAUUCUCCAUCUUUACUUUUCUAUUUUAUUAUUGUGUCAAUUUUGGCUCUCUUAUGGCAGUUCCUUAUGAAGUUUAUAUUUGGUUGAUCAUAAGACAAAAAUUAAUCUAUAUUGGCUCUGGAUGUAAUAUUUUUAUUCUUUUAAUAGAUUUGAAAAGUAUUUCCUUCAUAAAGUCAAUGAAUUAGAAGAUUUAAAAACAGAUAUGCAUGUUUUUAAAAAUCUUGAAUAAAUGUUUAUUGCUUUCAGUAUACUCAUCUUCACUCAUUCAUAUGCUUUAGUUUAAUUUGUUUCAUUUAUUUCUAAUACAGGGUCUCACUAUGCUGUGCAAUGUUGUUGCAACUCAAGCAUUAAAGCCAUGCUUUCUCUCAGCAUACUGAGAUUCUAACACUGGAGAUUACAACCAAGAAAUUCUGGUAUUGUAAAGCCAUUUGCUUUAUCAUUUCUUUAUUGAUUGUAGAUUGCUCAUGAAAAAUAAUUAGACUGAACUUUAUAUUUUUCUACAAUCUACAUUUCUUUUGAUUACUGCAUGUUUAAUUUUACAAAAGGUCUUGUGCCCUUUCACAAAAUUGAAGAUUUUUCUUGUUAGAUUUGAACACCAGACAUCUAAUAACCAGAAAUGUACAAUAUUUAUUUUCCCCCACUUAAAAAAUAAAUGAAAAGGUAAGGAAAGCACAUGGAUGUUCCUAGGUAUGAUUGAGGAGAACAUUUACUGUAGAAAAAAGGGAGAGCAUAGUCAGAGGCAGACACAUCUGGGAGAGUCCAGAGAAUUCAGGAUCCUGAGCCAUGUGAGGAGAGAG